GACAUAUCCAUAUAUCCAUUGCCUCAUUCAUCGGAGAACAUCUCAGGAGCAAGGACACUGUGAUAUUUAUUACUUUAACCUCCAUGACUGUCAGAAAUAGCAGAAAAGCUUCCUGACAGACUUCCCCUGAUAUUUCACCAGCUAGAAUAUUUCAUGUCACUGGGACACCUCUAGCCUGCAAGGGAGGCUGAGGCAGAAUUCUCAGUUUCUGAAGCCUCCGUCAUAGAGUGAAGGCUACUGCAGUGGCAUGUAAAAAAUAUUUCAGGCAAGUUUGAGAAAUAAAAGCAGAUUGGUGACAAAAAGGAUAUUAAAACCAGGAAAGAGUUAGGAAAGUAGAAUUGCUGAUAAACUCCUCUAGCAUCCUGCAACCUUCGAGAGCCUGUUUGAUCCGACUUCAUAAAACAAAUUGCUACAUUUUGCUUUUCAAACUCAUCCCACAUCAGAAGUCUCCUUCAGAAUUGUCAAUGCAGAGCACACUUGUCUUCCAGGCAAACAGGUGAGGUCCAGAUUGCCAGAGUUGAGAACAGCUCUGCUCCUCCAAGAUUUAAGAAGGUAGGAAGUGGCUGGGCACUGAGCAAGUGCAGGACUUUCUCAUUUCAGCCUGGCCCAGAGGCUUGGGAUGGCAGGUUCUCAU
rnacentral:lncRNA from 1 species